AUGUGGAGAAAGCUGCCUGUCGGGAGCCAAGGGUCGACGGAAGACAACCAAGACAACGUCCACUUCAGCAGAGUCUCUUACAUAAAAGAAGAGACAGAAUAUGUGAGGAAGAUUUGUUCAGAGCUGGAGAAGAUGAAGAAAAGGACGCGUGGGAGCGAAGAAGCGCCGGCAGAAACGAAGGGCCGGGGUCCGUCCGUCGGCACGCGGCAGCUCCGCGGCCGCACUUCCCCGCAUCCUCGGCAUCGGCGGGUCCUGGAGGAGCUGAACGCGAAAGAGAGCCAGCUCUCCGGCAUCCUCGCGGAGAACCGGGAACUUCGGCUAAAGGUCAGGUCGUGCGCGACGAGCCUCGCUUUAGAGAAGAGACUCCCUUCCUGGGGUUUAGCGUAAGUCCUUAACCGGUGCGGUGCCAGUGGAUUCCUUCUACAGGAGAGCCUGUGCUCUCUUCCACAGGUAUGGUUCAGAGGACUUGUACUCCGUAGCAUCGAUGCUGAACAUUUGUAGCCGCCCCCAGAUUUUUACUCAGAAAGUUAUCCCUCGAGAUGCGUUCCUUCGAGCUGCAAGAGCUUGAAUUUACUAGGAGUUUUAUGUAGUAUUCCUGCUUAUGAGGCAUUUCUUCAGGACUGAGCACAUCUCCCGACGGCACAAGGUAUUUAUACGUGUAUUUGUUCAGCAGACACUUUUCUCCAAAGCGACUUCCAAUGAACUCUAUGUAGUGUUAUCAGCCCACACACCUUAUUCACCAUGGUAACUUACACUGCUAGAUACACUACUUACGCUGGGUCACUCAUCCAUACAUCAUUGGAACACACACACGCUCUCUCUGUCACUCACACACGAUGGGGGAACCUGAACAGCGUGUCUUUGGAGUGUGGGAGGAAACCAGAGCACCUGCAGGAAACGCACAAGGACGCAGCGAGAACAUGCGAACUCCACACAAACUGAUCAGGGAUCAAACCCCGUCCUCCUGCACCACUGAGGUGCUGCGCAACAGCAGCGCUACUCCUUGUGCCACCUGUACGUACGUUUACAGUUAACAGUUUAUUCAUUUAGGAAACGUUCUUCUCCAACAAGAAUUACGAUGAUCGCUAACUAGCACUUAACCGACACCUUCAUCAAAGGCGACUCGCAGUGUUAGAAACACUGCAGUAAAAUAGACCGAUACACUGAUUGCUGCAGUUUCUGUCCAUUUCAACGGGUUUCCGUGUUCGUGAGUAAAUGCCAACUCUGCUGGUCAUGGCGAAAAGGAACGAAGAGCAAAUGCAUCGCUGCACGAAGUGGAAAGAAACGAAUUAAGUUUACUUAAGAAUCACAGGUCUGCAGCUAUGACUCUCUUUCUCCUAACGUUAUGCACAAACCGUAUUUUCUCCGAGAUGGACGUCGCUUCGGA
rnacentral:lncRNA from 1 species